AACGAACGCUGGCGGCAGGCUUAACACAUGCAAGUCGAACGAGCUGGGGGCUUGGGUGCCCGAUGCUAGUGGCGCACGGGUGAGUAACACGUGGGAAGAUACCCUUUAGUACGGAAUAAGCAAGGGAAACUUUGGCUAAUACCGUAUCGGCCCAUCGGUGGAAAGAUUUAUUGCUAAAGGAUUAGCCUGCGUCUGAUUAGGUAGUUGGUGAGGUAAUGGCUCACCAAGUCGACGGUCAGUAGCUGGUCUGAGAGGAUGAUCAGCCACACUGGGACUGAGAGCAGUCCCAGACUCCUACGGAAGGCAGCAGUGGUGAAUAUGGGACACUGGGGGCAACCCGGAUCCAGCCAUGCCGCGUGAGUGAAGAAGGCCGUCGGGUUGUAAAGCUCUGUCGACGUGGACGAUGAUGACGUUACCCGUAUAAGAAGCCCCGCUAAAUUCCGU
rnacentral:rRNA from 1 species